ACUUCGGCGUUAAGGAUAGCAGCGGCAUCCUUUUUUGGUAAAAAAAGAUAUAGCGGAUAGCCUGACCCGUU
rnacentral:sRNA from 1 species